rnacentral:rRNA from 1 species
UACGGAGGGAGCUAGCGUUGUUCGGAAUUACUGGGCGUAAAGCGCGCGUAGGCGGCUUUGUAAGUUAGAGGUGAAAGCCCGGAGCUCAACUCCGGAACUGCCUUUAAAACUGCAUCGCUUGAAUCCGGGAGAGGUGAGUGGAAUUCCGAGUGUAGAGGUGAAAUUCGUAGAUAUUCGGAAGAACACCAGUGGCGAAGGCGGCUCACUGGACCGGGUAUUGACGCUGAGGUGCGAAAGCGUGGGGAGCAAACAGG